GAGUCUAGCCCUGAGAGGCCUCAGGACUUCCACCAAGGCAUGGUGGAGCUGAGCUUCACCCCUGAACAGAACAGUCCUGAACAGUCUCACUGCCUCUCACACCUCAAGUGAAUUGUUGGAGCUGUCUGCUGCGAUCCCGUUAGCACUGCACUGAGUUUGGUGUUCAGAACUGUGCAGAAAGUUGACCAAGAAGCAGCUUCAAGUGGAGCGAACUUUGAGGAGAGAUGCCUUGUUUCACAGAAACCAAACAAAGGUGAUGGAUGAGUCGAAAGGAAGAAUCCCCAAGACGAGCAGUCCAGAUAAGCAAGACGAGCCAAACCCUGGAGACGAGCCACAACAGGAUCCUGAAGCAGCAAGAACACUCAGUGUCUGAGUGUCCGUCUUCUGACGACAACUCCUUCAAGUCAUGCAGUUGUUUGUUGACUAUGGUUUCACCUGCUCAGAAACAGUGUGGGAAAACACAGUACAUCACAUCGUGGGUGCAGCCUGUGAGUUAAGCUCC
rnacentral:lncRNA from 1 species